UACGUAGGGGGCGAGCGUUGUCCGGAGUUACUGGGCGUAAAGCGCACGCAGGCGGUCUGCUAAGUUUGGAGUGACAGUUGGUUGCUUAACUGCCAAAGUGCUUCGAAAACUGACAGACUUGAGGGCUUCAGAGGGACACGGAAUUCCAGGUGUAGCGGUGAAAUGCGCAGAUAUCGGGAAGAACACCCGUGGCGAAGGCGGCUCUCUGGGACGGUACUGACGCUGAGACGCGAAAGCGUGGGGAGCGAACAGG
rnacentral:rRNA from 1 species